UCCAGGGGGGGCAAGCGUUGUUCGGAAUUACUGGGCGUAAAGGGCUCGUAGGCGGCCAACUAAGUCCGACGUGAAAUCCCCGGGCUUAACCUGGGAACUGCAGUCGAGACUGUCUAGCUAGAGUAUGGGAGAGGGAAGUGGAAUUUCAGGUGUAGCGGUGAAAUGCGUAGAUAUCGGAAGGAACACCGGUGGCGAAAGCGGCGCGCUGGACCUCUUCUGACGCUGAGGCGCGAAAGCCAGGGGAGCAAACGGG
rnacentral:rRNA from 1 species